UCCGUAGGUGAACCUGCGGAAGGAUCAUUAUCGAGUACGCCGUUGGGGACUGUGCUGGCCUUCGGGCAUGUGCACGUCCCCUUCAUUUCCACACACCUCGUGCACCUCUAGGUGGCUCUCCCGACGGAGGCCGCCUGCUUUUUUUACAUGCGCUUUUUCUGUGUAUAAUGGGGUGUCUUGUCUAAAUAGUAACAACUUUCAACAACGGAUCUCUUGGCUCUCGCAUCGAUGAAGAACGCAGCGAAAUGCGAUAAGUAAUGUGAAUUGCAGAAUUCAGUGAAUCAUCGAAUCUUUGAACGCACCUUGCGCUCCCCGGUAUUCCGAGGAGCAUGCCCGUUUGAGAGUCAUGAAAACCCUCAGCCCCUCAUCGCCUCUGGUGUUGGGUUGGACUUGGACGCCUGCUGCGACCUUUUCGGUCUCGCGGCUCGUCUCAAAUGCAUUAGUCGACUCCGUUGGGACCUCGCCUUUGACGUGAUAGACAUCGUCGUCGAGGUUGGGACCCGACUUGAAGGAGCGGCUCACAACCGUCUUCGGACAGCGCUUUUGACACUUUUGACCUCAAAUCGGGUAGGACUACCCGCUGAACUUAAGCAUAUCAAUAAGCGGAGGA
rnacentral:rRNA from 1 species